ACCUGGGUGGUGUAAAUGGUUAACAUGCUCAGCUGCUAACCCAAAGGCUGGAGGUUCAAGUCCCCCCAGAGGUG
rnacentral:tRNA from 1 species